ensembl:lncRNA
GAAAAACCACCACACUAGAAAGUAACUCUACAAGUGAAGUUACCAUGAGGUAUGCAUUUAUUUUUCAUACGUACAAGAGGCCAGUUCAAGGUGUGGGAGCCCAGCGCUUCAACUCCCAUCAUUCCAGGGCACGCUCUAUUAUAGAGCGUGCUUUUGGAAUGAUGAAGACGAGGUUCCGGGCCAUCGUCCUUCAAGCGCUGGAGGUGCACCACACCUUUGUACCACAUGUCAUAACAGCAUGUGCUGUUCUACACAACAUCUGCCUCGGUGCUGAUGACGCUAUGGACCCGGAGGAUGCACCUGAGGAUGAUGUGCAAGAUGAGGGGGAGAUGGGUUUGGAGGCAGUCAGUGGUGCUCCCUGGCGGGACCAGCUAUCUGCUGAGGUGUCUGCCCCUGAGGAGCUACCCCAAGACCAUGGAUAUAUUUAAACAGUGACAUGGCAGCCAUCAGUUACAUCAGCCCUGCAAACCCAAGUGACAGAUGAUGCGGUGGACAGUGGAAAAGAGCAUCCCUAGACCUUAUGGAUAAUAAUAAUUCUUAAGAAUUCAUGUUUUUUGUUGUUUUUUCUAUUGUUACUUUUGUCAGACAUUUCAAUUAAUUGUGUUGAUAAAAUUUAUGUUGUACAUAGUUUCUUUAAAAAAAAAGGAAAAACAAUGCAAAUAAAGGUG